CAGACUUCGAGGGAGGAAGACUGAAUUUGAAAGAAUAUCUUGAAGAUUCUGAUAAAGAAAAGCUGUCCAGCAUCUCUGUAAAAGCUCCUUUGAAAUGUAGAGUAAAUGUAGCUGAAGGCACUGAGUAUGCUGGUCAGAAGAAAACACUGAAGUGAAGGAGAAAUAAGAAUUCUGUAGAAGGAUGAGUACGUCUCAGCCAGGAUAUCAAGUUUGUACCCACAGGGUUUUAUCUGUUUUGAGAAUAACCUUCCACCUAAAUAGGAGCUUGUAACAGAAGUGGAACUAAUGAGCACUAAACGUGUCACUACCAGCAUGUGGAGAAACACAAGGAAGCAGGACCUUCAGGAGGCUCUGCUCUAUGAUCUUGCCAGGCACAGAGGCUUGACUACUCUCCUGUGAAGAAGAAUUUAGAUGAACAUCUUCCCUUCUUACUUGAAUUUUAUUUUCCUGGUGAUAAGGAAAAAAAAAAAUCCUAGCCCUCUGCUUCUCUGAGCACAGGAAGCAGGGUAUUUAUUUAUGUUUUAAUUAUUAUUGUAUUUGUUGUUAUUUUUAUUAUUAUAUUUUUAAUAUAACAUGCAGCCUUGUCUCCCAACAAAAUAAUAUUUAUUUCAUUUUAUUUCUCCCUUAAAUUCUGUGUUCUUGCUGGUCAAUUUCAAUAAUCUCUAAUAGAGGUCUCAGUGAUGGAAAUAUCUGAUAGGCAUUGUAAAAAUAAGCUGUGUUGAGACAGGCUUUAUUAAAGUCUUCUGCAGGGCAAAAGAAUGAGCCCUAGUGUUUUUUUUUUUAAACAAUAGAGACCAACAUAGAAG
ensembl:lncRNA